GUUAACAAAAGAAGAAUACGACCAAAAUCCAUGGUCAAAAUUUUGCUUGCUGUCUGUUCAUCUUCAUUAGAAAGCUGCUUUCAGAAAUUCAGCCUAACAUAUAGAUCUGAAUUUGGGGACCUGCACUAUCUAGGCAUUGGUAGAGGACCAAUGAAUCUGCAGCAUAAAGCUUUAAAAUGUUUUAGUGUUUCACUCUCUGGUGGCACAACUCUGUUUCCAAAUGUACCAAGAGUUUGAUGGGAAUGCCUGUUAUAUUUCUGAGGAAUAAUGUUUUACAGUGGAAAUCUGGAUUGGAGACAAGAAAAAAGGGUUAUUUGCAAAAAAAUUUUGACACCUCGGUGAAAAGAGGAGCAUCCUUAGAAAGGCGUUGAGCCAGUGCUCUGAAUUAAGGAUUCCAUCACUGGCAGCAGGAGUGGGUGCGUGUUCAGUACAGAAAAGCCACGCCCUGGCCAUAGAUUUUGAA